rnacentral:rRNA from 1 species
UACGUAGGGGGCUAGCGUUAUCCAGAAUUACUGGGCGUAAAGCGCGUGUAGGCGGCUGGUUAAGUGUGAUGUGAAAUCUUCGGGCUCAACCCGAAAACUGCAUUGCAAACUGGCCUGGCUAGAGUGCAGGAGAGGGAAGCGGAAUUCCAGGUGUAGCGGUGAAAUGCGUAGAUAUCAAGUGGAACACCAGUGGCGAAGGCGAGUCUCUGGACAAUUCCUGACGCUGAGGCACGAAAGCCAGGGGAGCAAACGGG